CAUGUUGAUCAGGUGCCCGCACUAAGCUUGACAUCAGCAUGGAUCUGCUAGAGGAAUCUAGUAGGUGCAGGUUAGCUAAGGAGGAGCGUAGUGGGUCAGGAGGGAAACCUAGCAGCCAAAAGUUCCCGUGUUCGGCAGUAGUGGGAUCGUGCCAGUGAGUG
rnacentral:SRP_RNA from 1 species